CAUCAGAAUGGUGGCACAGGUUUCCACAUUCCUGUGCAUUCAUUUGGGUUUGGUGCUGAUCAUGAUGCUACCUCAAUGCAUUCGAUUUCUGAGAUAUCUGGGGGCACAUUUUCAUUCAUAGAAGCCGAGGGUGUUAUUCAGGAUGCAUUUGCACAGUGCAUUGGAGGGCUCCUGAGUGUGGUAGUGCAGGAGCUACAGGUCAAAGUCGAGUGUGUUCACCGGAAUUUGCAUAUUGGUUCUAUAAAGGCAGGUAGUUAUCGAACCAGCAUCAUAGGUAAUGCUAGAAUGGGCACUGUUGAUGUUGGAGACCUGUAUGCAGAAGAAGAAAGGGAUUUUUUGGUGACGAUCAAUAUUCCUGUUGAUAGGUCCAUUGAUCAGAUGUCAUUGCUGAAAGUUGAUUGUGUAUACAGAGAUCCGAUUACCAAAGAUGCGGUGACUUUGGAGGGAGCUAGUCAAGUAAAGAUACAGAGGCCUGAAAUAAUUGGAGCACAAGUGGUGUCAAUGGAAGUAGAUAGGCAGCGAAGUAGGAUUCAUGCAGCAGAGGCAAUGGCUGAAGCUAGAGUUGCUGCUGAAAAUGGUGAUCUAGCUCGUGCAGUCUCUGUCUUGGAGAGCUGUUACAAGUCGUUGUCGGAAACUGCAUCUGCACAGACUGGUGACAGAUUAUGUGUUGCAUUAUGUGCUGAGUUGAAGGAAAUGCAAGAAAGGAUGGCAAACCGUCAGGUAUACGAGACAUCUGGAAGGGCUUAUGUCCUAUCAGGU
rnacentral:misc_RNA from 1 species